rnacentral:rRNA from 1 species
CCUACGGGAGGCAGCAGUGAGGAAUAUUGGGCAAUGGACGCAAGUCUGAACCAGCCAUGCCGCGUGCAGGAAGACGGCCCUAUGAGUUGUAAACUGCUUUUGUACGAGGGUAAACGCAGACACGCGUAUCUGUCUGAGAGUAUCGUACGAAUGAGGAUCGGCUAACUCCGUGCCAGCAGCCGCGGUAAUACGGAGGAUUCAAGCGUUAUCCGGAUUGAUUGGGUGUAAAGGGUGCGUAGGCGGUUGGGUAAGUGAGUGGUGAAACCCCGAGGCUCAACUUUGGAACUGCCUCUGAAACUGUUCGGCUAGAGAGUAGUUGCGGUAGGCGGAAUGUAUGGUGUAGCGGUGAAAUGCUUAGAGAUCAUACAGAACACCGAUGGCGAAGGCAGCUUACCAGGCUGCAUCUGACGCUGAGGCACGAAAGCGUGGGGAGCAAACAGGAUUAGAUACCCCAGUAGUC